GCUGAAUACAAAAAAAUAAAUAAAAAGCUCUCCCCGAAACAAUAUGAACGGUGCGGUGACAACACGAAUAGAAGGGCGAGGCGACGCAAAAUGCUGCUGGGAGGCUCGCACGUGCCCGACGGCCUGUUUGGAGAAUGACCAGUUGAUUGGAGAAAUACCAACAUGUCCCUCUAAACCCCAAAUAAUCCCACAACACGACUUUUUUUUAAACCCUUAAUUAAUUUUAAAAUAACAGUUUGCACAGUCGGACCGCACUGUGUGCUCGGCACGAGCCGCCAAGCACCGGAAGUCGCUGAAGGCUGGACAGAAUCUCCAACGAGAUUCAGGUGGCGAAACGAAAAGACGAAAUCAAAUCGAGCAAAAGGUGUUUAGAACGAACAAAAGACUAAAUAGUUUAUCAUAGUUGCCCGGGUGUGUGAUUGUCAGCAUCACGGUGAUUUAACGUGGCCAUGAUCUCAUGUGCAGGGCGAGGCUUUUCCAAGAAAAGUCAAUUUUAAGAAAUGGCACGCGGACAUCAUUAAUUUAAAAAUCGAAAAAUUGCCGGAAUAUAAGAGAAAUAUGUGCGUUUAGCUGCAAAACAUUUUUGUGGCAACAAUGCACAAAAAACAAACAUAUUGUGCAGUAAUUUAUAAAAAUUAAAAAAAUGUAUAUCACAUCAUCUCAUUAUGUUUAUUAUUAUGAGAAGAUUCGAAGAAUAGGACUUCUAAUGAAGACAGAAUAACACCUGAACUACACGAGGAUGAUCACUGACUAUGUAUUAUUCAAUAAAAUAUGGGCAGACCUAAUAAUUAUUAAAAUAUGGAUGACGUUGUACAACUUGUUUAAUUACAACAAUAGACUAAAUAUUUGGAAAUAUGCUCAUUAAAAAAAAAUCUGCACACUGAAUCAUUAAUGCUAUAGAGGAAACCUAUACUGUCUAUUAAUGCACUUAAAUAAUAAUUCAUACUCCCUUGUCCUGAUUCUCCAUAUGCUAGAAGUUGACCUUGUUUCAAUUCAUUUCCAUGUUUGUUUGUUUUCUGAAAAUAAUGUUACGAAAAAUGUGGACAGCUGGUCUAAAAUCUAACUUGAUCCUCCCACAAACCUCAAACCAUUUUUGUUUAUGACAUCUGAACCAUAACCAUUCAGAUCGUUGAGACAGUGGGGUUAAACAAUAAUAAAAUAACUCAGUUUUUUGGCAUAAACCCAUGAUUUAUAUUAUCAAAACAACAUUAAAAAAGGAGUCACCGGAACAAAAGUUGUGUUCCUUUUAAAAGUUUCUUGAAAGAAACAUAAAGACCUAAAAAUUUUUUAAAAAAAGGUUACAAAAACAAACUGGAGGAAAUUAGUUGCCGUGCACCUACACCAGAUCAUGUAGUCGACCUAUACAAGCGUCAAUUAAGGCUGAUCUUUGGUUUAAUGAAAGCCCUGAGCGGUGAAUCUAAACCAGCCAUUAUGAUACCACACUGGUCUGAGAGCCAGCAUGAUGUGGGCAACAUGCUGUGGCAUCAGGCAGGCAAAGUUCAGACUUUCUCUAAAGUCCUAAAUGCUUGUCUGUAAACCGCAGAAUGACUCCCCCUGCCCCAAAUGACACGUUUUAACUCCUGGGCUGGAACAUCACUGCAAACCACGACUGACAUGUUGAAAAGGAUCAGAGAUCCGGAGAUAAAUAUCCUGAACUAAGACAGACCUGGAAGCAAGUAGAGGGGCGAAGGAACUUUAAUCAACAGGUUAACAUUUCAUCAAAUACGUUAUUGCAGACUGAAGUGUAUAAUGCAGCAGAGUACGGACGUGGAGCAAUUUAUUAUGAUGCACGCACUCGUCUGCUAUGGUGGCGCAGCGUGGACGUUAAAUGCUCCUUUCUUGGGGCCCCAAACCAAAAUGUCAAUACUCUGAUCUGUGAAAUAAUAUAUCAUGACAAGUGAUGAUGGCGACAAAAAAGCAGAGCAGUAGAAGCGAGGUCAAAAUAACAAACGGAACGGCAUUCACUAAACUUUAAAGCAGAAAGAAAAGAGCUCUGCAGAAAACUUCAUUGUGCCGUUUACAAAAUGCAAAUCAUUUGAUCUCCAAGUUUUCUCCUCGAGGUGAAACAACUAAGAACCCGAACAAGAUCCCACCAAGAACUAUGUGAGAAGUCUAGAAAAGGCCGAUGUAGCUGCUUGACUGUUAGAGACCUAAAUGUUCGACUCAUGGCGGAGCCAGCCGCACACAAAGGAGCACGACAAAGAUACAAAGUGCAACACACAGUACAAAUAAAAAGAAAAGGCCUCAGUCCUGAAGCACCACUCUCACUGCCCUCUGCUGCACUGAACUAAAUAUAAUAAAUAUACUGCACCAGCAGGACGUGGGACAAAUUCGGUGGAGCUACCCCACCCCCGCCCCCCUCUACAAAUUCAUUCCUCCAGAAAAAAUAAUGCGUCUCCAAAGCGAGAGGAGCAAUAAGCGGCGGGAAGUAAAGGAAAGGAUAAAAACAAGGCUCUUUUUGUCCGCGCCGGCUGAGGUUUGUUAUCCCGACAUUGCCGAGUGUUGUCUGGCAUUACAAAUCUCAGCCGGGGCCGGGAUGGACACAGGAGGGCUCUGCUGGCCCUGCUCACACCGUCUGCAUCCAUGCAAAUAAACCCCAAAUGAGAGAGCAGCUGAGGAGAGAGAGGGAGCUGGAGGGGGGAAACACACAACUCAUUACAAUAAAGAGAAGGAUGGAAGAGUGAAGGAUGGGACGGUCGCAAAGAGGGAAUCAAGAAAUGUAUGUGGCGAGUAGGGAAGGAAGGAAAUGGUUGGUCUGAAGUAGCCGUGUAUAGGGACAGGGAGAAAAAAAAGUGUGUGUGUGUGUGUGUGCGACAGAAAGAAAGAGAAAACGAGUGGGUACAAACCGGCCACUGAGGGGCGAGGAAUGCCCGGCCCUGGCACAGCAGAAUGGGAUGGAGGGUGGAGUAUGUUCACAGCGCGGCUGCCAGCCGAGCACAUUCCCACUGCACAGCCAUGGAGACUUUGUAACCUAAAGAUAUGGAGUUUUCUCAUGAGAGUCUCUGGCCGGUCACUUUAUGAGACGGGAUAAAAAGCCGAGGAAAUUAUCCAAAGUGCCUGAUGCUGAAUUCUAAACAGAAAAGAGAGAGGUGUUCUUUUCUGUUGUGUUCUUUUAUUUCUUCAAAGAAAUGAUGUAUGAGACUUUUAAAAAAUCAGAAAUAAAUAAAGGGUAAUUUACUCCUUUUCUAAUCAAACCUGUUUAGUGGAAGGAAAUUAAAUUAAGAGGAACUCUGGUUUUAUCAAAAUACCUUGAUAACUUUUUCUUAAAGAUAUGUAUACAUUUAAUUUACUUUUAACUGUACAAGAGUUCAUCCACUCGAGGUCGAACCCAUCUAAAAAGAUAAAAUAUUACGUGCGAUACAGAUACAGUCCCUCUUACCGUUAAGCAUCUGGCAUAAAACCAGAUUUCCUUCCAUUUGUCAUAAAAAGUGCACUUAUGAACUCAAAGAAUUAAAUAGUCAAAAAGUAAAUGUGUGGGGGUCAUAAAUGAUCUCAAGCGCUUUGAGAAGGACUGACAAUUACUCUUUUAAAUGUUGGCCGAGUUGAGCAGCAGCAAUAAUAAACGAUUGAUUUAUGCACAUCCCUCGCGUGUUAAUUUUACUUGAGUAUUUUUUAAUUUUUACUAUACUUUGAAGUUCCGCUAAAAUAAUCUUUCGCCUCUUCUGCUCCAUUAUCAGCAGCUUUAGGCUCUCAUUUAAAUAUAAUGAAUUGUUACAGAUUUAACUGCCCGGCAGUUUAUAAACCUCAACCGUCUGCAAUAUGAAAAUGCUUCUUAUAUCUUUGCAUCAGUAAUAUUAAUCCAAAUAAUCUUUAUAUAGUGUAGCACACAAUGAUCUGUAUACUUUGUUAAAGUACAUUUAGCUGAUAAUACUUCAGUGUAUAGGAGAAUUGUUACUCUAGUGUUAGAGUGCUGCUUUGAGCCGUCACAGAGAGACGUUUGUCUUUCUGAAAACAGACCUCACUUUUCCAGGAAUUCUUCUGAGGCGAGAGUCGUGUUGGUGUCUUUGUGGCUGAGAUGGAGCGGUGGUUUAUCAAUGGCUGACAUAAGGCACACUCACACACAUGCACGCACGCACACACACACACACACAUACACGCUUGAAUUGUUAAAGCACAAGCUCACUUAUGAAUCUGCAAGAAAAAGUGGAAGACAAACAGUCUGUCGUGAUUGUUAUUAUGAUUAAAUAUGAAAAUGUGAUGUUUUGAUAUUAAAAGGUAUUUCAGUCCUGUUUGAUUUUUCAAAAAAAUUGCUACUUUUUAGAAUUCUGUGCAUUCAUUUGUUUAUACAAUGGAGAAAAACUGCGAAACAGUUUUUCCCCCAGCCAUCUCGCCCCAGACACCCAGUUUGUAAUACUGCCACACAUCUCAAUCAUCAUCGAUAGAUUAAGACUCAAACAGACAUAUUUUUUAAUUGUUUUGUAUUUUCAUAUAAAACAAUUACCACUUGAUUCACCUAUUUGCUCAAACACAGAUGCAGAAACAUUUGCUGGUUUCAGCUUCUCCAAUAUGACGAUUUGCAGAUUUAUUUUUCUUUCUCACAAAGUAAACUGAAUAUAUUUUGGUUUUGUAUUGUUAGUAAAACAAAAUAAAAAAGAUUUGUUUGGAUCCUG